CCCUCUCAGGGUCUGUGAUGUCUCUGCCCUCACCACUCGCUCCAUCCUUCUGUUCCUUCCCGCCUGGGGAGGCCUCUGGUCUGCUGAACAGCCCACCUGCUUGUACCGGGCGGGGCACAAGUAGGAAAAGGGCAAAACACCAGGAGAGAAACAAGCACAUCGAUGACCUCAAUACCUAUUUCAGGAGCAUCUCUUGUGGACCAAGCACUGCUCUAGGCCCGGGGGUGGCAGCUAUGAGCAAGUGGACAGAGGCCUCCUCUCCAGGGAGCUGGAGGGGGCAGACAGCGAUGGUCAUACAGACUGCCGUUUAUGGAGCCCUACUAUGUGCCAGGCCCUGUGUCAGCUCAUUCACUCCUUCCAACAACAUAAUGACAUAAGUGCUGCUAUUACACCUAUUUCAGAGGUGAGGAAAUAGAGGCACAGAGAGGGUCAGUAACUUACCCAAGCUGGUAGAUAAUUGGGGCGAGAUUCUGACCUGGGCAGACUGAAAACUAAACAAGGUUAUGGAGUAGAGAAGGGCCGGCUAUGCGUCCAGCUGGGGAGGAUGCUUACAGUGUUUCCUCGAUGAGGAGGUGCCUCUGAGCCGAGACCUGCCUGAUGAUAAGAAGCAGCUGUGCCGAGAUCUGGGGGUAAACCUGGGAGUCAUCCAGGAGGAGGUGAUGUUCACGAAUUGCCAAAGGCAGGAGGAGAGAGAUUGAAGGACUCUUUCUGGAAACUGCCAGUUGUCCAGACAAUGCAUGGCUUUUUGCCAAGUGGUGCCAUGUCCACACCCAGGAUCCAAACCCGUGGACCCUGGGCCACCGAGAAGCGGAACGUGCGAACUUAACUGCUGCGCCACCGGGCCGGCCCACGGACAGUUUAAUAAGCAGACAGACAACACACUAGUGAACAGAAUCAGCUCCUGGCAGCCGCCCUUCAACUUCUGUCUCUCUGAAUGUGACUUCUCCGGGCACCUCACGGAAGUGGAUCAUACAGUAUUUGUCCUUUUGUGUCUAGCUUAUUUCCCUCAGCGCAAUGUCCUUAAGGUUCGUCCAUGGUGUAGCCUGUAUGGGAACUGUCUUCCUUUUUUAAGACUGAAUAAUAUUCCACAGUACACAUAGACAUUAGGUGGUUUGAGCUUCCUUUAGCUCCAGCAUUGCAGGAUUCUCAGUGCCGACUCUGUCCUCCCAUGGGGCCGACAGCUGCCUGGGGGGAUGGGGACCCUGGAUCCAGACAGGCUCUCCCUCCUGCCUGUGUCACCAGGCACCCUUCU
rnacentral:lncRNA from 1 species